rnacentral:rRNA from 1 species
GAUGAACGCUGGCGGCGUGCUUAAUACAUGCAAGUCGAACGGACAGGCCCUGCUCUUGCUGGUUGCUCGUGUGCCGAACACGUGAGUAAAACGCGAGUAACCUGUCCCUGUCUUUCGGAUAACACUAGGAAACUCCGGCUAAUAUCGCGUAGGAGCUCUUGCUCCAUGGUGGGGGUUGGUAAGUUUCGGUGGUUGGGGAUCGACUCGCGGCUUAUGAGCUUGUUGGUCGGGUAGUGGAUUUCCAAGGCUGUGACGGCUAGGCGGCCUGAGAGGGUGACCGGCCACAUGGGGACUGAGAUACGGCCCAGACGCCUACGGGAGGCAGCAGUGGAGAGUAUUGCACAAUGGGCGGAAGCCAGAGACAGCGGCGCCGCGUGCGUGAUGACGUCCUUCGAGUUGUAAACCGCUUUCGCCUGUGACGAAGCGGGAGUGACGGUAAUGGGUAAAGAAGCACCGGCUAACUACGUG